CUAUUCCUGUACCACCGUAAGCCGUUACGAGCAAUGGGGUGACGCAGAAGGAUAGUGACGCGGGCUGAUGGAUGCCCGUCCAAGCAGUGAGGCUGAUGUGUAGGCAAAUCCGCACAUCGUAAGGCUGGGCUGUGAUGGGGAGCGAAAAUUGCAGUAGCGAAGGUCAUGAGUUCAGGCUGCCAAGAAAAGCCUCUAGCCAGGUGAAGGUGCCCGUACCGCAAACCGACACAGGUAGGCGAGCAGAGUAUGCUAAGGCGCUCGGAAGAACUCUCGUUAAGGAACUCGGCAAAAUGACCCCGUAACUUCGGGAGAAGGGGUGCCUCGGUAGGGUGAAUAGCCCGAGGGGGCCGCAGUGAAAAGGCCCAAGCGACUGUUUAGCAAAAACACAGGUCUGUGCGAAGCCGUAAGGCGAAGUAUACGGGCUGACGCCUGCCCGGUGCUGGAAGGUUAAGGGGAGUGGUUAGCCGCAAGGCGAAGCUAUGAACCGAAGCCCCAGUAAACGGCGGCCGUAACAAUAACGGUCCUAAGGUAGCGAAAUUCCUUGUCAGGUAAAUUCUGACCCGCACGAAUGGCGUAACGACUUGGGCGCUGUCUCAACGAGAGAUCCGGUGAAAUUUUAAUACCUGUGAAGAUGCAGGUUACCCGCGACAAGACGGAAAGACCCCAUGGAGCUUUACUGCAGCUUGAUAUUGGACUUUGGUACGAUCUGUACAGGAUAGGUGGGAGCCUAGGAAACCGGAGCGCCAGCUUCGGUGGAGGCAUCGUUGGGAUACCACCCUGAUCGUAUCGGAGUUCUAACCUGGUACCGUGAUCCGGUACAGGGACCGUGUCAGGUGGGCAGUUUGACUGGGGCGGUCGCCUCCUAAAAUGUAACGGAGGCGCCCAAAGGUUCCCUCAGAAUGGUUGGAAAUCAUUCGUAGCGUGUAAAGGCAUAAGGGAGCUUGACUGCGAGACCUACAAGUCGAGCAGGGACGAAAGUCGGGCUUAGUGAUCCGGUGGUACCGCAUGGAAGGGCCAUCGCUCAACGGAUAAAAGCUACCCUGGGGAUAACAGGCUUAUCUCCCCCAAGAGUCCACAUCGACGGGGAGGUUUGGCACCUCGAUGUCGGCUCAUCGCAUCCUGGGGCUGAAGUAGGUCCCAAGGGUUGGGCUGUUCGCCCACUAAAGCGGUACGCGAGCCGGGUUCAGAACGUCGUGAGACAGUUCGGUCCCUAUCUGUCGUGGGCGUAGGAAAUUUGCGAGGAGCUGUCCUUAGUACGAGAGGACCGGGAUGGACGCACCGCUGGUGUACCAGUUGUUCCGCCAGGAGCACCGCUGGGUAGCCAAGUGCGGACGGGAUAAGCGCUGAAAGCAUCUAAGCGUGAAGCCCCCCUCAAGAUGAGAUUUCCCAGUAUGUAAGACCCCUGGAAGACGACCAGGUUGAUAGGUUCGAGGUGGAAGCGCGGCAACGUGUGGAGCUGACGAAUACUAAUCGGUCGAGGGCUUAUCCG
rnacentral:rRNA from 1 species